rnacentral:rRNA from 1 species
UACGUAGGGGGCUAGCGUUGUCCGGAUUUAUUGGGCGUAAAGAGCGUGUAGGCGGCCAGGUAGGUCUGGUGUGAAAACUCGAGGCUUAACCUUGAGAUGUCAUCGGAAACCAUUUGGCUUGAGUCCGGAAGAGGUGAGUGGAACUCCGGAGUGUAGAGGUGAAAUUCGUAGAUAUUCGGAGGAACACAGUAGGCGAAGGCGGCUCACUAGGCUCG